rnacentral:lncRNA from 1 species
GUAUAAGGCAAAACAGAAGACCACAGAGCAUCCUGUGAAGCUAUAACACUAUUGAAAAACAACACUAUCAAGAAAAAUAACAAGUCAGAAAAAUGAAAAUGCAGUUUUGGCAUCUCUGGGUUUUACAGAAACACCUUCCUCUAUCCCUCAGGUGAACCUGUUGGUAAUCUUAGGGCAUAUCAUGAGCACAGACAGAGAAAUACUAAUGGAAGCACAUUAUGCAUUCUAAUAUAUCCAGAAUUUCGGGCAAUUCACAGUGAUAAGAUGACCUGAAAAACUGAGAAGAUAUGGAAUGGAAAAGAGGUCGCUGAUAUUACUGCCAAUUGUCAAAUUUUGGUUUCCUGUUGUUGAUUUUCAUGCAUGAGAAACACACUGCCGCUGGACUGGUGCCAGAGCUCCAUCAAUCUCUCUAGGCUUUUUCAACCUCAGGAUAUGUAAGAGUAGCAGAUAAAUUGGAAGAUCAAUGCCUUGUCCCUCCUGCUGUGCCAGCUGCUAUUGAGAAAUUAAUAUGAGGAUCACUAUAAAUAAAAGAUAAAAGAUGAUAUGGCUUACA